rnacentral:lncRNA from 1 species
GUGACUGAGCGGGGAGGAAGAGCGGGCUCCCUCGCAGGCGGAGAGCGGCGCGCGCCCCCCGCCCCACCUGCCCCGCGCGGGCCGAGCGGCGCGAGGCGCCGAGCGCGGGAAGGCGGGCGCGAGGCCCCUCAGCCGCUCGGUCCCCCCACUCCCCUCAGCCCCUCAUUCCCCUCAGCCCCGCGGCCGCCUCGCCCCUCUCUCCUUGCACGCUCCGCUGGUUGCGCUUCCCCAUCCGUCAGGCUCCAGCUCUGGGAAUCAUGUCUUUUCCUUCAGUGGUGGUGGGGUUUGGGGGGCGUGUGGCACAUUCCUGGUGUUGGGGGCUGCAGGGGCUCGGCUCUCCCGGGCCCAGGAGACAGGUGAAUCCCUCAGUUUGUUGGGUAGCGAAGGCAGGUAGCUCAGGAAGGAGAGUUCACGCUUGUCUCAAGCAGCCACCUGCCGCCCUGGGGACCUGGAGCAGUGGCCCAGGAGGUUGUGCUCAAGUGACAUUGAGGAGAAACCAUGCAAUUAUCCAACUGUACUGACACCAUUAGGGAGCUUGAGCUGGAUCACAGAGAGCAAGCUGUUUUUUCAAGAGUGGAGAGUAACUUGGGUCCCUGCUCUAGGUUUUCAAAGGUGAUCAAGCAUCCUUGUGAGGUCUUAAGUUGGCCAUCUCAUGCCACUGGACUGGUCAAGCCCUUCAGUCCACUUGAAAACACUUUACAAUUUCUGGGAGCUGGACUGGCAAACACACAGAGCUCAUUGCUGAACUACAGGAGUUGGACACAAGCUUUGAGGCCAUGUGGUUGAAUCCAAGAGUGAUCCUCCAUCCCUGGACCAGAGACAUCCCCAUGGAACCUUCAUCCUUGGCCUGGUACCAGCUGUGGGGUGAAAUGGGUAAGAGCACUUUUUAGGUAGCUGCACAGAUGGUGUUUCCUAACCAAACCUUGCAUUGUCUCCA